GAAAUUAUUGGAGCUGGUUAAAGAUGUGGGCAUGUGGCUAUUUUUGCUAAGGUUUGAAUAACGUCGUUUGCUUAUCUUUAAUUAAACCCAACAAGCGAGUUUGCAAAACUUACACGUAGACACAUAUAAUAUAAUUUAAUCCAAUUACAUGUAUUGGUGUCCUGCCGGUGGUGACUAAUACAUGUAGUUUCAUCUGUUGAUACAACUUCUUGUUGUAGAGGUGUCCUGCCGAAGACUUACCAUGCAAUGAUAGUAAGUUGUAUAUGGAACUUUUGUUUAUAAAUAAAUACUCAGUAAUCACACACUUACAUAUAUGCCUUUACUAUAUAUUCUGUUUCUGCAACUUGUUUUGGAAACUUUGAAGGACAGAUUCUCAACAUUAAUAACAAUUCACAGUAAUAAAAGAUAUUACUAAUCAGCUUGCUAAAUCAUUAAUUCACUGAAUCAUAUCUAGCUUUUAAAGGAAUUGAAUUGAUUCAGCUUAGACGAAGCAAAUGUUGUUAGUUCAAACAAAUUCACAUAAAUCCUUGCAGCCACAGUGCUCAAUAAACCAAACUAAUUCUCAGUUUCAAAUUUAAAUAGUGCAACAACUAGCAGCUGAGGACAUCAAAUUCUGUCACAUGCCACUACUCUUUAGAGUGAAGACUUUUCUUAAGAUAUAGAUAGAUCAUUGGCUUAAUUGGACAUUUGUCGCUUAAUUAAUUUAGAGGUUUAAUUUCACUUUGAUCCCUUAAACAUGCUUUUAUCGGUCAAUUUGGUCCUUCACAGUUAAUUAUAAUCCAGAAUGUUUAAGGUAUACCAACAUUGUAUGAGGUCCACGGUAGACUUUAUUAAUUUAUUUCAUUUUAACACUUUGAUCAUUUUAUUUUAGAACAAAAUAGACCCUUAGAACAUGCAAGACCUUUGAAUCUAGUAAUAAACCACCAACAUAUAAUUUUUCUUUCUUUUUCUUCACCUUCUUCCUUUUAUUUCUUCUUCAUCUUCAUCAUCUUCAUUCACUUUCAAAUCAAGAAAAAAAAAAUUAAAAACUCAAAUUUAUUUUUCAUUCUUCAUAUCUUCUUCUCUCAAAGCCCAUAUAUGGGGGAAGAAGAGAUGAAAAUUAAAAAAUGAAUUUGAGUUUUUUUCUUUCUUUCUGGGUUUGAAUGUGUAUGAAUGUGGAUGAAGGUGAAGAAGAAAUAGAAGGAGGUGAAGAAAAAGAGAGAAAAGUCAUAUGUUGUGGUUUUAUUAGAUUCAAUGAUCUUGCAUGAUCUAGGGGUUUAUUUUGUUUCAAAUUGAUCAAAAUGAUAAAAUGAAAUAAAUUAAUAAGGUUUACGGCGGACCACCAACAAUGUUG
rnacentral:lncRNA from 1 species